AAUGAUGCUUAUAUAGUGCUCUCUGAGAAAGCAAUCCUAACCCCCUGGUUAGGAUAUGGCAGAGGGGCCUGUCUGCCUAUCUCUGUGAGCCUCUGCUGCUCCCAUGAAUAGGAGCCUUUUCUGCUCCACCAAAAAGCACUACUGAUGAUGUUCCUGGCUGGAGCAAGCAGACAGGGCAUGGAUGGGUGGGUAGGUCUAUCAUUCCAUCCCCACCACCACCACUUAAGAUUGCUCUGCCAAUGCUCCAGUUAUUUCACUUGCCCCCCCAGUUUGUCAAAUGGAAUUAUCCCCCAUCACCCCAUGCACUGUUCUGGGAGUUCUCCUGACUCCCACACAGCCCAUUGGGGGCGGGCAGGGUCCAUGGGGGGAGGAGAAGGGGGAAUGCCCUGUUACGUAAGUGGGAGCCAUUGCACAGCACUUCUGCUGAUGGAGUCCCUAAGAUAGAUCCGGCCCAGAGUCUAAAAUCACCUAAAUGCAUCACUGCUCCUUUCGUAUUGAAAUGACACCUUGAAAGUAGACUAUAUGUUAUUAAUGAACAUUUGCUUCCUCCACCACCACCCUAACCUCUGUAAUAGCAAAAUGUCUUUUUUUAGAACAUCUUCAUAUCAUGAUACAGUAUGGAAGCCUUAGGCUAGAAAACGAUGCUUUGAAUUUCUCUCUACAAAGCCUUAGUGAAGCACAAUUACAAGAAAUCUAUUAAAAUAAUUUUGAGAUCCUGGCAGGGUUUUUUCCACACAUUAACAAAUCUUUUGCCCCUUUCUCUUCUGAUGUCUAGCCAGGAGCACCACUGGCAGACAAGCCUUGCCUAGGUGGAUUCUGAUUGUUAACAAGAGUGGGAGCAACUACAGAGAGCUAGAGGGAGAGAUGAAGUGGGUUGAUGAAAGGCCGGUUUCCCAACAGAUACCACC